UAUGUAGGGGGCAAGCGUUGUCCGGAAUUAUUGGGCGUAAAGCGCGCGCAGGCGGUCAGUUAAGUUGGGUGUUUAAGCCCGGGGCUCAACCCCGGUACGCAUCCAAAACUGGUUGACUUGAGUGUAGGAGAGGAAAGUGGAAUUCCACGUGUAGCGGUGAAAUGCGUAGAGAUGUGGAGGAACACCAGUGGCGAAGGCGACUUUCUGGCCUAUAACUGACGCUGAGGCGCGAAAGCGUGGGGAGCAAACAGG
rnacentral:rRNA from 1 species